GAAAUGCGAUAAGUAAUGUGAAUUGCAGAAUUCAGUGAAUCAUCGAAUUUUUGAACGCAUAUUGCGCCCUCUGGUAUUCCGGGGGGCAUGCCUGUUCGAGCGUCAUUUAAUAUCCUCAAGCAAAUAGCUUGGUAUUGGGCUUUUCAUCCUUCCCUCUUAGGAUGGGCCUAAAAAUUAGUGGCGAUUGGCCUUUCUUCUGGCUUUUAAGCGUAGUAAAAUAUUUUCUCGUCUUAAAAAAAGUAAAAGAAAGUUAUCUGCCAAAAACUUUUUAUUUUUAAAAAAAGUUGACCUCGGAUCAGGUAGGAAUACCCGCUGAACUUAA
rnacentral:misc_RNA from 1 species